rnacentral:rRNA from 1 species
UUGAACGCUGGCGGCAUGCCUUACACAUGCAAGUCGAACGGCAGCACGGGAGCAAUCCUGGUGGCGAGUGGCGAACGGGUGAGUAAUGUAUCGGAACGUACCUUUCAGUGGGGGAUAACGUAGCGAAAGUUACGCUAAUACCGCAUAUUCUGUGAGCAGGAAAGCAGGGGAUCGCAAGACCUUGCGCUGAUUGAGCGGCCGAUAUCGGAUUAGCUAGUUGGUGAGGUAAGAGCUCACCAAGGCGACGAUCCGUAGCUGGUCUGAGAGGACGACCAGCCACACUGGAACUGAGACACGGUCCAGACUCCUACGGGAGGCAGCAGUGGGGAAUUUUGGACAAUGGGCGCAAGCCUGAUCCAGCCAUUCCGCGUGAGUGAAGAAGGCCUUCGGGUUGUAAAGCUCUUUCGCAAGGGAAGAAAACUUAGCCACUAACAUUGGCUGAGGUUGACGGUACCUUGAUAAGAAGCACCGGCUAACUACGUGCCAGCAGCCGCGGUAAUACGUAGGGUGCGAGCGUUAAUCGGAAUUACUGGGCGUAAAGCGUGCGCAGGCGGUUUCGUAAGUCAGAUGUGAAAGCCCCGGGCUCAACCUGGGAACUGCGUUUGAAACUGCGAGGCUAGAGUGCGUCAGAGGGGGGUAGAAUUCCACGUGUAGCAGUGAAAUGCGUAGAGAUGUGGAGGAACACCGAUGGCGAAGGCAGCCCCCUGGGAUAACACUGACGCUCAUGCACGAAAGCGUGGGGAGCAAACAGGAUUAGAUACCCUGGUAGUCCACGCCCUAAACGAUGUCUACUAGUUGUUGGUGGAGUGAAA